UACGAAGGGUGCAAGCGUUACUCGGAAUUACUGGGCGUAAAGCGUGCGUAGGUGGUUUGUUAAGUCUGUUGUGAAAGCCCCGGGCUCAACCUGGGAAUGGCAAUGGAUACUGGCAAGCUAGAGUGCGGUAGAGGGUAGUGGAAUUCCCGGUGUAGCGGUGAAAUGCGUAGAGAUCGGGAGGAACACCCGUGGCGAAGGCGGCCAUCUGGACCAGCACUGACGCUGAGGCACGAAAGCGUGGGGAGCAAACAGG
rnacentral:rRNA from 1 species